AUCCCUACGGGACGCAGCAGUGGGGGAUAUUGCACAAUGGGGGAAACCCUGAUGCAGCGACGCCGCGUGAGUGAAGAAGUAUUUCGGUACGUAAAGCUCUAUCAGCAGGGAAGAAUAAUGACGGUACCUGACUAAGAAGCCCCGGCUAACUACGUGCCAGCAGCCGCGGUAAUACGUAGGGGGCAAGCGUUAUCCGGAUUUACUGGGUGUGAAGGGAGCGUAGACGGUUACGCAAGUCUGGAGUGAAAGGCGGGGGCCCAACCCCCGGACUGCUUUGGAAACUGUAUAACUGAAGUGCA
rnacentral:rRNA from 1 species